GUCAGUAUGAGCAUGGAACUUGCUUUAGCCAGUGAAAUGUGAACCGUGUACCCUGUACCACUCUCAGGAGGAAGAUUUGCAAGCCACUAAGUGGACCUGCCUGACCCCUCCCUUGAUGAAGUUACCUUUGCCCCACGUUCUAAUCAACCUAUACCCCGUAGGCCAUCCUUACACUUCUGCUGGGGGUCUGGGUGGACCCCAGGUCAGACAACAAUUCAUGCUAAGCUGCUUAUGAACAGCAGACCACCUGCUGCAGAAUCAGGCAGGACAUGUGUAGCCUAUUUCCAUCAAACCUUCUGAAAUGGAAACCCCAGGAGUAGAGUCCAGCAUCCAGGCCCACAGGAUUCCCAGACAUACUCAGGUAUAAAAAUGCCACUGAGUCCUCUGUUAAUUAUUGACUCCAAAACAUUUCUUUGCAGAAGAUGAUGUUUUCUAAGACAGUGAUCUGAUUUUAAAUUACCAAGACACUGAGUCCUUAUUUUAUAUUCUUUUUCAUCUUUACACAAAUUUUCUUAAAUUAAUGCUCUUUAAAAUAAGCUCAUUUAAAAAAAAUGGUGAUAAAUCUCCAGGUUCUACAGAUGGAAAGACUGAAAAUAAGACACAGGUAUCAAAAACAGAAUAAGUGGAUCUAAUGCAGGGAUGUCAGGUGUGCCUCUGGGCCCUCAUCCAUUCCAAAUCCCACUCCACACCUACCUGUCCAUUCUCAGAUUAAAGAACAGAAUGCCCAGACUGCAAAGAAAUUAACAUGCCCCUUCGUUUUUAUUAGCUUUUAUUUUAGGCUCAUUAUCCAUACCUCUGUGCAUCCCUAUUCUGUGUCUGCACUCAUUUAGAAGCCAAAUACCAGUAGGCCAAUCAGCACAUU
rnacentral:lncRNA from 1 species